rnacentral:rRNA from 1 species
AUUGAACGCUGGCGGCAGGCCUAACACAUGCAAGGCGAACGGUAACAGGAAGCAGCUUGCUGCUUCGCUGACGAGUGGCGGACGGGUGAGUAAUGUCUGGGAAGCUGCCUGAUGGAGGGGGAUAACUACUGGAAACGGUAGCUAAUACCGCAUAAUGUCGCAAGACCAAAGAGGGGGACCUUCGGGCCUCUUGCCAUCGGAUGUGCCCAGAUGGGAUUAGCUUGUUGGUGGGGUAACGGCUCACCAAGGCGACGAUCCCUAGCUGGUCUGAGAGGAUGACCAGCCACACUGGAACUGAGACACGGUCCAGACUCCUACGGGAGGCAGCAGUGGGGAAUAUUGCACAAUGGGCGCAAGCCUGAUGCAGCCAUGCCGCGUGUAUGAAGAAGGCCUUCGGGUUGUAAAGUACUUUCAGCGGGGAGGAAGGGAGUAAAGUUAAUGCCUUUGCUCAUUGACGUUACCCGCAGAAGAAGCACCGGCUAACUCCGUG